ensembl:processed_transcript uncharacterized LOC110313231
UGGAUAUCCGGGCCGGGAGGCUCGCGGAGCGCGCACUUCCGGGGACGGCUCGGCCCCGCUCCCUGGAGGCGCUGGUGCUCUCUGGCUCUCGGUGCGGUAGCGCCAUCUGGCGCCGAGUGUUCCCCGGCCUGCGGAGGGGCGCGCUUCCUCCCGUCAGAACCUUCCAGAGACACCGCGGCGGGGCCGCCGGGGCUCUGUCUCCCUUUCUCUGCAUCCUGCUUGCGGAUCAGAUGUGAGCUCUCAGCUACUGCUCUGGUGUCACACCUGCCUGCCUGCCACCGUGCCGCCUGCCAUGAUGAUCAUGGACACACCCUCUGAAACUGUAAGCAAGCCCCCAGUUAAGUGCUUCCUUUUAUAAGUUGCUUUGGUCAUGGUGUCUUGUUCUAGCAAUAGAAAAGUAACUAAGACAAAUAUGUUCAGUAAUGAUAUGAGUUAGUUUUAGAAAAAUACACUUUGAAAAAUAAACAUUGGAGAGUCUACAUUAUUCUAGUUUGCUUUUCUGUUGUUAUGAUAAGCACCCAAACCAGAAGCAACUUGGGAGGAAAAUUUUCAUUUGGCUUAUACUUCUACAUCAUAAUCCAUUAUUGAGGAAAGUAAGUCAGGGCAGGAACCCAAUGGAGGACCUUAGAGGCAGGAACCACUGAGGGAUGAAUGAUGCUCUCUGCCUGUUCUCUGUGGCUUGCUCAGCUGCCUAACUCAGUGCAGGACCACACGUUCAGGGAAUGGUGUCAUCAGUCAACAAUCAAGACAAUUGCCCACAGACGUGACCACAGACAAGACUGAUCUGGGCAAUCCCUCAGUUGAGACUACCUCUUCAGGUGACGCUGGGCUGUGUCAAGGUGAAAAUAAAAACUAUUCAGACUCAGGAGGAGGAGGGGAGGAGGAGGAGGAGGGAGAGGAAAUAGUUUUAUGCAUUUACAUUCCCCUUGUCAAGGGACUACAGAAAAUUUAAGUCACAUGGGUAGUUCAUGUUGUAUUAUGCUUUUCUAGCAGAUCUUCCUGAGUCUUAUCUACCUGUCUAUCAUUCAAGAUGCAUCACCUGCAUUGUUAAAUGUCUCAUAUCAAGCGCUUGUCUGUAUAGAGAGCGCCUGAAAGCCCAAAAUUUCCCGUUCCUUGUUGUGUUUCUCUUCUUGUGAGUGAGUCCUUAGAAGAGUGUCUUUUACCUAAUUGAUUCUGAGUGAUGAUCACUAUAUGAUUUUUGAGCCCUAAACAUGUGCUCUGUUCUCACAUACCUCAGAGUUCUUAGCACAAUUCAUUUAAAACGCCAAGCCCUGGCUUAAGGUCUAGGUCAAGUCCUACCAAUUGCCAUGCGUCUCUCAGGGUGGGUCUUGAGUGUCGGAACCACUGUCCUCUGCUAAAGCAAUUCCCAGUAACUAAUACAAACCCAAUCAAAACAAUCAGGAAGUCAAAGCGCAGUAAACAAGACAUCAACCAACGCAUCCCUAAGAGAUUGGGGGUUAUGCACACCAGUGCUCUCCUCUGUUGAGGUAAUGAAAAGUUGAUUGAUAGAGAAUUGCUAAUAAAUAAAGGUGAUGACGGCCUCUCUUUCAGUACCCGUGGGGACAGACUUGCGGGGCUUGAGGCAGUAAGGACACUGUUUGCCAUGGAGGGCCAUGCAGAUUAUUUUCAAUCCUAAUUCAGGGGCCACUGCCUCCACUUCUGGGAACAUCUUCCCUCACUCAUGUUUUCACUCAUUCACAGUCUCAUUUCUUCUCUGUCCUCUUCCGAGCCUCAUAGGCUCAAACCAUCAAUAAGUAAAUUUUCUGAGUAUCUUUAUUGGUCAUAUGCCUGUGACCCUGGGAGUCACAUUAAGAAAUAGCUCCUGGUGGGUGGGAGAGAUGGCUCACUAAGUGCACUGGUAGCUCUUGCUAAUUUCAGUUCCCAGCACCCACAUGGUGGCUCAAAACCAUAUCUAAUUCCAGUUAUCCCUAUAUCUGAUCUGAUGCCCUUUUCUGGCCUCCACAGCCACUGCAUGCACACGGUACACAGACAAACGC